GGGUGCGAUCAUACCAGCAUUAAUGCACCGGAUCCCAUCAGAACUCCGAAGUUAAGCGUGCUUGGGCGAGAGUAGUACUAGGAUGGGUGACCCCCUGGGAAGUCCUCGUGUUGCACCCC
rnacentral:rRNA from 1 species